UACGUAGGUGACAAGCGUUGUCCGGAUUUACUGGGCGUAAAGAGCGCGCAGGCGGUCGUUCAAGUCGAGUGUGAAAGCCCCCGGCUCAACUGGGGAGGGUCAUUCGAUACUGAUCGACUCGAAGGCAGGAGAGGGUAGUGGAAUUCCCGGUGUAGUGGUGAAAUGCGUAGAUAUCGGGAGGAACACCGAUGGCGAAGGCAGGUCUCUGGGCCAUAACUGACGCUGAGAAGCGAAAGCAUGGGGAGCGAACAGG
rnacentral:rRNA from 1 species